rnacentral:rRNA from 1 species
UACGGAGGGGGCUAGCGUUGUUCGGAAUUACUGGGCGUAAAGCGUGCGCAGGCGGUUUUGUAAGUCUGUCGUGAAAUCCCCGGGCUCAACCUGGGAAUUGCGAUGGAGACUGCAAGGCUAGAAUCUGGCAGAGGGGGGUAGAAUUCCACGUGUAGCAGUGAAAUGCGUAGAGAUGUGGAGGAACACCGAUGGCGAAGGCAGCCCCCUGGGUCAAGAUUGACGCUCAUGCACGAAAGCGUGGGGAGCAAACAGG